CCUACGGGAGGCUGCAGUGGGGAAUAUUGGACAAUGGGGGGAACCCUGAUCCAGCCAUGCCGCGUGUGUGAAGAAGGCCCUCGGGUUGUAAAGCACUUUCAGUGAGGAAGAACGCCUGGUGGUUAAUACCCAUCAGGAAAGACAUCACUCACAGAAGAAGCACCGGCUAACUCCGUGCCAGCAGCCGCGGUAAUACGGAGGGUGCGAGCGUUAAUCGGAAUUACUGGGCGUAAAGCGCGCGUAGGUGGCUUGAUAAGCCGGUUGUGAAAGCCCCGGGCUCAACCUGGGAACGGCAUCCGGAACUGUCAAGCUAGAGUGCAGGAGAGGAAGGUAGAAUUCCCGGUGUAGCGGUGAAAUGCGUAGAGAUCGGGAGGAAUACCAGUAGCGAAGGCGGCCUUCUGGACUGACACUGACACUGAGGUGCGAAAGCGUGGGUAGCAAACAGGAUUAGAUACCCUGGUAGUC
rnacentral:rRNA from 1 species